GGGCUCGUGGUUUAGUGGUAUAAUACUCCCUUAGCAUCGCAGCUUCAUAGAAGCUCGAAUCUAGCCUGGGAGUGGUCCGGGGUUCGAUUCCCCGCGAGUCCA